rnacentral:rRNA from 1 species
UACGUAGGGGGCUAGCGUUGUCCGGAAUCAUUGGGCGUAAAGAGCGCGUAGGCGGCUAGAUAAGUCCGGUGUGAAAGUCACAGGCUCAACCUGUGAAUGCCGCUGGAAACUGUCUGGCUAGAGUCCGGAAGGGGCGAGUGGAAUUCCUGGUGUAGCGGUGAAAUGCGCAGAUAUCAGGAGGAACACCAAUGGCGAAGGCAGCUCGCUGGGACGGUACUGACGCUGAGGCGCGAAAGCGUGGGGAGCAA